rnacentral:tRNA from 1 species
GGGCCCGUAGCUUAGCAUGGUUAGAGCGCCCGGCUGAUAACUUAUGGGCAGAAACCGGGAGGUCGGGGGUUCAAAUCCCCCCGGGCCCA